GACGAAGGUGGCGAGCGUUGUUCGGAAUCACUGGGCAUAAAGCGCACGUAGGCGGCGGCGUAAGUUGGAUGUGAAAUCCCCCGGCCCAACCGGGGAACUGCGUCCAGUACUGCGUUGCUUGAGGAUCCAAGGGGUGCAUGGAAUUCCCGGUGGAGCGGUGAAAUGCGUUGAUAUCGGGAGGAACUCCGGCGGCGAAAGCGGUGCACUGGUGGAUUACUGACGCUGAGGUGCGAAAGCCAGGGGAGCAAAGCGGG
rnacentral:rRNA from 1 species